rnacentral:rRNA from 1 species
GGAGGGUGCAAACGUUGUUCGGGAAUCACUGGGGCGUAAAGGGCGCGCAGGCGGACCUGUAAGUCAAGAGUGAAAACUCGGGGGGGCUCAACUCCGAGCCUGCUUCUGAAACUGCAAGUCUUGAGGGCCCGGAGAGGAGAGUGGAAUUCCUAGUGUAGCGGUGGAAUGCGUAGAUAUUAGGAAGAACACCAGUGGCGAAGGCGACUCUCUGGACGGUUCCUGACGCUGAGGCGCGAAAGCUAGGGGAGCAAACAGGAUUAGAUACCCUGGUAGUCCUAGCCGUAAACGAUGAGUGCUAGGUGGUGGUGGUUUCAACGCCUUCACUGCCGGAGCUAACGCAUUAAGCACUCCGCCUGGGGAGUACGGCCGCAAGGUUG